rnacentral:misc_RNA from 1 species
AAAGCAUUUCCAAAAGGAAUAAAUUGUAGCUGUAGAAAUUUUAGAUCCGGUAACGAGGUCUUCUUUAAAUGCCUGAAGAGAUGAUCGUUGAAGGGAUACAUGUUUAUACAGUAAAAUGUAAAAAAUAGAUAAAGGUAGGAGCUUACUAUUUUAGGAAAUUUACUCCAUUCUUCAUUAGUAUCUGAUUUUCUAUUUCUUUG